rnacentral:rRNA from 1 species
GACGAACGCUGGCGGCGUGCUUAACACAUGCAAGUCGAACGGAAAGGCCCUGCUUUUGUGGGGUGCUCGAGUGGCGAACGGGUGAGUAACACGUGAGUAACCUGCUCUUGACUUUGGGAUAACUUCAGGAAACUGGGGCUAAUGCCGGAUAGGAGCUCCUGCUGCAUGGUGGGGGUUGGAAAGUUUCGGCGGUUGGGGAUGGACUCGCGGCUUAUCAGCUUGUUGGUGGGGUAGUGGCUUACCAAGGCUUUGACGGGUAGCCGGCCUGAGAGGGUGACCGGCCACAUUGGGACUGAGAUACGGCCCAGACUCCUACGGGAGGCAGCAGUGGGGAAUAUUGCACAAUGGGCGGAAGCCUGAUGCAGCAACGCCGCGUGCGGGAUGACGGCCUUCGGGUUGUAAACCGCUUUCGCCUGUGACGAAGCGUGAGUGACGGUAAUGGGUAAAGAAGCACCGGCUAACUACGUG